rnacentral:rRNA from 1 species
GCUCAGGAUAAACGCUGGCGGCGCACAUAAGACAUGCAAGUCGAACGGACGAAGUUUAGAUUCUUUACGAUUCUAACCAAGUUAGUGGCGGACUGGUGAGUAACGCGUGAGCAACCUACCUAUAAGAGGGGAACAACAGAGAGAAAUCUCUGCUAAUACCGCAUAAGCUCACAGUAGCACAUGCUACAGUGAGAAAAGGAGUAAUCCGCUAAUAGAUGGGCUCGCGUCCGAUUAGCUAGUUGGUGAGAUAACAGCCCACCAAGGCAACGAUCGGUAGCCGGACUGAGAGGUUGAACGGCCACAUUGGGACUGAGAUACGGCCCAGACUCCUACGGGAGGCAGCAGUCGGGAAUAUUGCGCAAUGGAGGAAACUCUGACGCAGUGACGCCGCGUAUAGGAAGAAGGUUUUCGGAUUGUAAACUAUUGUCGUUAGGGAAGAGAAAGGACGGUACCUAAGGAGGAAGCCCCGGCUAACUAUGUGCC